CCUACGGGUGGCUGCAGUGGGGAAUAUUGGACAAUGGGGGGAACCCCGAUCCAGCCAUGCCGCGUGUGUGAAGAAGGCCCUCGGGUUGUAAAGCACUUUCAGUGAGGAAGAACGCCUGGUGGUUAAUACCCAUCAGGAAAGACAUCACUCACAGAAGAAGCACCGGCUAACUCCGUGCCAGCAGCCGCGGUAAUACGGAGGGUGCGAGCGUUAAUCGGAAUUACUGGGCGUAAAGCGCGCGUAGGUGGCUUGAUAAGCCGGUUGUGAAAGCCCCGGGCUCAACCUGGGAACGGCAUCCGGAACUGUCAAGCUAGAGUGCAGGAGAGGAAGGUAGAAUUCCCGGUGUAGCGGUGAAAUGCGUAGAGAUCGGGAGGAAUACCAGUGGCGAAGGCGGCCUUCUGGACUGACACUGACACUGAGGUGCGAAAGCGUGGGUAGCAAACAGGAUUAGAUACCCCAGUAGUC
rnacentral:rRNA from 1 species